rnacentral:tRNA from 1 species
GGACAAUUGGGAGAGUGGUUGAAUCCAGUCGCCUGGAACGCGGCCGUAGGGCAACCUACCGUGAGUUCGAAUCUCACAUUGUCCACCA